AUGUCAAAAUUGGAGUUGAAGGAGAGCUUAGAGAAGAUAGAAAGUGCUAUAAGCGAUGCAUGUAAAGUUUUGGAACAACUGAACUUGCUAGGUGUAAGUAAUGAUAAUGGGAGACGAGCUAUUGCUACCAAUUCACGCAGUACAGUCAUUACUGCAGGUCCUCCGACACGAGUAAUUGGCCGGGAUGAGGAUCGUGACAAGAUCAUAGCAAUGCUUAAUGAGAACGAAGACCAAUGCCAAACAAAUACUGUCAAUGUAACUUGCUAUUCCGUAAUUGGCAUUCAUGGUAUUGCCGGGUCUGGGAAAUCAACACUUGCACAAUAUGUUUAUGAACAUGAGAAAAAGUACAAGCAAGAUAAAAUGGAAGGCCAUUUUGAUAUUGUUAUGUGGAUUCAUGUUUCUCAGAAAUUUGAUUUGGACUCCAUUUUCAGAGAGAUGUUUGAGGGGGCUACAGGGAAAGCAUGCGAAAACUUCAAUAGUCGUAACGUCUUAAAGGAAAAACUGGAGGAUGAACUGCGUGGAAAACAGAUUUUGUUGGUACUGGAUGAUGUCUGGUACAACAUUAAGAAUUCGGGAGAUCGUGAAGAGCUACAAAAGUUGAUUUCUCCUCUGAAUGUUGGAAAGGUGGGAAGCAAAAUCUUGGUGACUAGUCGAACUGAAGCCGCAUUAGUAACUCUGGGUGCUGUAAAAGAGCGAUGCAUUCCAAUAUCUGACUUGGAUGAUAAAGUGUUCCUUGAAAUGUUCAUGCAUUAUGCACUUAGAGAUGCAAGGGUAAGUGAACAUGAUCGAAGAAUACUUGAAAUGAUCGGAGAGGACAUUGCCAAAAAGCUGAAGGGAUCACCUCUAGCAGCCAGAGCAGUGGGAUCACGGCUCCGUGAGACACAAACUGUUGAGUUCUGGAGGAGUCAGAAAGAUCGGGACCUUCUGAAUGACACAAUGGGAGCCCUGUGGUGGAGCUACCAAUAUCUUGAUGAGCAGGUCAGGCGAUGCUUUGCUUACUGCAGUAUUUUCCCUAGGCGACAUCGUUUGAAACGUGAUGAGUUAGUUAAGUUGUGGGUAGCAGAAGGGUUUAUAAAGACUAGUAAGGCUGAAGAGGAAAUGGAAGAUGUUGCUAAGAAUUAUUUUGAUGAAUUGCUGUCGGCCUCAUUUCUGCAAUUAGGAGGGAAAGAUAAGUUAUUUGAACAUGAGGUCGAUUACUUUACAAUUCAUGAUCUGUUGUGUGAUUUAGCAGAGGAGGUUGCCGGAAGAGAUUGCUUCAGGAUCGAGAAAGGCUGCACAGGAGAAGUUCCUAAAGAUGUUCGGUAUCUUUUUGUUGGGACUUAUGAUAGAGAGAUGCUUACUAAGAAGAUAUCUGGACUGCAAAAUUUACGCACUCUCAUCAUCGAUGCUCACAUAGAGGUUAAAUCAAAUGAGUGCCAAGUCUUUGCGAGUAUGUUCACUACGUUCAUGGGGCUGCGGAAAUUGCGCGUACUGAAUUUAUGUCUCAUUGAAACUGGUCGCUGCACGUUCUCAUUCCCGGAUUCUAUUGGUCAGUUGAAGCAUCUGCGUUAUUUUCAUUUUUGGGUGACUGCACUUACCAGGCUCACGGUACCGGCUGCUUUUAUGAAGCUUUACCACAUACAGGUGGUAGAUUUUGGUGGUUGUCAAGAUUUGGUGUUUUCUAGUAGUGAAGAUAUGAUUAGCCUUGUCAACUUGCGCUGUGUAAUCAGUGGGGCAGAUCUGGAUUUUCCGGAAGUAGGCAGGCUCAUAUGGCUCCAAAUGUUACCGUUAUUCACGAUAAGGAAGGAACAGGGGUAUGAGCCACAUCAGCUGAAACACCUAAACAAGCUUCAACGCACGCUGUAUAUCCGCGGUCUUGAGAAUGUUGAGAGCAAGGAGGAGGCUCUUCAAGUCAAUCUUGCAGCCAAGGAAAAACUCACAGAACUUGUACUUCAAUGGAAAAGGGAGAGCUGCAGUCCAGAAGUUCAAGCAGAGGUACUUGAGGGUCUUUGCCCAUCGAAGUAUCUUGAAAUACUGGAAAUCAGAAAUUACCUUGCUUCGGGGUUACCGAAUUGGAUUGUGGGUAUGCAUAGCGGCUCCCCAAAGAACCUGCAAGAACUUAUCUUCCGGAACUGUGGCCAGCGGGGACCUGCUGGUGACCUUGGAGCUUUCGUUUAUCUUCUUUCGCUAUGUCUUGUUGAAUGCAGCUGGGAUGCAUUACCAGGUAAUAUGGAUCAUCUCACAUCGCUCAAGAAAUUGGAGAUCACAGUUUGCAUGAAUAUACGGUCGCUUCCAACACUGCCUAUGUCUCUUGAGGAGUUUACACUCAUGUACUGCAAUCGCGAGUUCAUGCGAUCUUGUACGACGGCUGCUGAUCCAAAUUGGCAAAAGAUUGAGCACAUUCCAAAGAAAACAAUUAUAGGUUCUUGA
rnacentral:rRNA from 1 species